AGCGAACGCUGGCGGCAGGCCUAACACAUGCAAGUCGAACGAAGUCUUCGGACUUAGUGGCAGACGGGUGAGUAACACGUGGGAACGUGCCCUUUGGUACGGAAUAACUCAGGGAAACUUGAGCUAAUACCGUAUGUGCCCUUCGGGGGAAAGAUUUAUCGCCAUUGGAGCGGCCCGCGUCUGAUUAGCUAGUUGGUGAGGGAAAGGCUCACCAAGGCGACGAUCAGUAGCUGGUCUGAGAGGAUGAUCAGCCACAUUGGGACUGAGACACGGCCCAAACUCCUACGGGAGGCAGCAGUGGGGAAUCUUGCGCAAUGGGCGAAAGCCUGACGCAGCCAUGCCGCGUGAAUGAUGAAGGUCUUAGGAUUGUAAAAUUCUUUCACCGGGGACGAUAAUGACGGUACCCGGAGAAGAAGCCCCGGCUAACUUCGUGCCAGCCGCCGCAGUAA
rnacentral:rRNA from 1 species